AUGGAAGAUACAAGAACUGCUAAUGGGCGUUCAAGGAGUUGGGGUGGGCAAUUGGUAACUUACAACCAUCAUUUCAGAAAUGAAAUAUUCAAUGUGUUGCAUGAUCAACUUAUUGUAGAGUUAAACAACCACUUUGCCGAAAGGUCUACUCAAUUGUUGAGAUGCAUUGCUUGUCUUGAUCCCAAGAAUUCAUUUGCCAACUAUAAUGAAGACAAGCUAGUAGAUCUUGCUAAUAUGUAUGCUGCUGACUUCUCUACAUAUGAAGUUGCUUUUGUCCUUAGAAACCAACUAGACUCAUUCAUUUAG
rnacentral:rRNA from 1 species